rnacentral:rRNA from 1 species
UGGGGAAUAUUGCACAAUGGGCGAAAGCCUGAUGCAGCAACGCCGCGUGAGGGACGACGGCCUUCGGGUUGUAAACCUCUUUUAGCAAGGAAGAAGCGAAAGUGACGGUACUUGCAGAAAAAGCGCCGGCUAACUACGUGCCAGCAGCCGCGGUAAUACGUAGGGCGCAAGCGUUAUCCGGAAUUAUUGGGCGUAAAGAGCUCGUAGGCGGUUUGUCGCGUCUGCUGUGAAAACCCGAGGCUCAACCUCGGGCCUGCAGUGGGUACGGGCAGACUAGAGUGCGGUAGGGGAGAUUGAAACUCCUGGUGUAGCGGUGGAAUGCGCAGAUAUCAGGAAGAACACCGAUGGCGAAGGCAGAUCUCUGGGCCGUAACUGACGCUGAGGAGCGAAAAGGGUGGGGAGCAAAACAGGCUUAGAAUACCCUGGUAGUCCACCCGUAAACGUUGGGAACUAGUUGUGGGGUCCAUUCCACGGAUUCCGUGACGCAGCUAACGCAUUAAGUUCCCCGCCUGGGGAGUACGGCCGC